rnacentral:rRNA from 1 species
UACGAAGGGGGCUAGCGUUGCUCGGAAUCACUGGGCGUAAAGGGCGCGUAGGCGGCCGUUCAAGUCGGGGGUGAAAGCCCAGGGCUCAACCUUGGAAUUGCCUUUGAUACUGGCUGUCUUGAGUUCGGGAGAGGUGAGUGGAAUGCCGAGUGUAGAGGUGAAAUUCGUAGAUAUUCGGCGGAACACCAGUGGCGAAGGCGACUCACUGGCCCGAUACUGACGCUGAGGCGCGAAAGCGUGGGGAGCAAACAGG